AACCAUUCUCACCUGCGGCUAGACCUGCGGAAGGAUCAUUACACAAAUUAAAAUAUGAAGGCUUCGGCUGGAUUAUUUUUAUCACCCUUGUCUUUUGCGCACUUGUUGUUUCCUGGGCGGGUUCGCCCGCCACCAGGACCACACCAUAAACCUUUUUUUAUGCAGUUGCAAUCAGCGUCAGUAUAACAAAUGUAAAUCAUUUACAACUUUUAACAACGGAUCUCAGAUCGGAAGAGCACA
rnacentral:misc_RNA from 1 species